rnacentral:rRNA from 1 species
UACAGAGGUCCCGAGCGUUGCUCGGAUUCACUGGGCGUAAAGGGUGCGUAGGUGGCAUGUUAAGUUUGAUGUGAAAGCUCAGGGCUUAACCCUGAAAUGGCAUUGAAUACUAGCGUGCUGGAGGUUUGGAGGGGGGACUGGAAUUCUCGGUGUAGCAGUGAAAUGCGUAGAUAUCGAGAGGAACACCAGUGGCGAAGGCGAGUCCCUGGACAACACCUGACACUGAGGCACGAAAGCCGGGGGAGCAAACAGG